rnacentral:rRNA from 1 species
GUAGGGAAUAUUGGGCAAUGGAGGCAACUCUGACCCAGCCAUGCCGCGUGCAGGAUGACGGCCCUCUGGGUUGUAAACUGCUUUUAUACGGGAAGAAAAAAUACUACGUGUAGUAUACUGACGGUACCGUAAGAAUAAGGAUCGGCUAACUCCGUGCCAGCAGCCGCGGUAAUAUGGAGGAUCCAAGCGUUGUCCGGAUUUAUUGGGUUUAAAGGGUGCGUAGGCGGAUCUUUAAGUCAGUGGUGAAAGCCUGCAGCGUAACUGUAGAAUUGCCAUUGAAACUGAAGAUCUUGAAUGUGGUUAAAGUAGGCGGAAUGUAUCAUGUAGCGGUGAAAUGCUUAGAUAUUAUACAGAACACCGAUAGCGAAGGCAGCUUGCUGAACCAUUAUUGACGCUGAGGCACGAAAGCGUGGGGAGCGAACAGGAUUAGAAACCCGGGUAGUCC